ACGGGUGAGUAACGCGUAAGAACUUGCCCUUUAGACUGGGAGUAACAGAGGGAAACUUCUGAUAAUACUGGAUAAGUUAGUAUAUCGCAUGAUAUGCAAAUGAAAGCUACGGCACUAAAGGAGAGCUUUGCGUCCUAUUAGCUAGUUGGUAAGGUAAGAGCUUACCAAGGCGAUGAUAGGUAGCCGGCCUGAGAGGGUGGACGGCCACAAGGGGACUGAGAUACGGCCCUUACUCCUACGGGAGGCAGCAGCG
rnacentral:rRNA from 1 species